CAGUCGCCACGGUAAUACGUAGGGUGCAAGCGUUAAUCGGAAUUACUGGGCGUAAAGCGUGCGUAGGCGGUUUGUUAAGUCUGUUGUGAAAUCCCCGGGCUCAACCUGGGAAUGGCAAUGGAUACUGGCAAGCUAGAGUGUGUCAGAGGAUGGUGGAAUUCCCGGUGUAGCGGUGAAAUGCGUAGAGAUCGGGAGGAACAUCAGUGGCGAAGGCGGCCAUCUGGGACAACACUGACGCUGAGGCACGAAAGCGUGGGGAGCAAACAGGAUUAGAUACCCGUGUAGUCCCUGUCUCUUAUAC
rnacentral:rRNA from 1 species